rnacentral:tRNA from 1 species
GUCCAGGGAUGGGAAUCGAACUCACAGUGUUCCGCUUACCGGGCAGAUACCGUGUACACUAGGCUACCCUGAA